rnacentral:rRNA from 1 species
AUGCCGGAUGCUCCAGUUGAUCGCAUGGUCUUCUGGGAAAGCUUUCGCGGUAUGGGAUGGGGUCGCGUCCUAUCAGCUUGACGGCGGGGUAACGGCCCACCGUGGCUUCGACGGGUAGCCGGCCUGAGAGGGCGACCGGCCACAUUGGGACUGAGAUACGGCCCAGACUCCUACGGGAGGCAGCAGUGGGGAAUAUUGCACAAUGGGCGCAAGCCUGAUGCAGCGACGCCGCGUGAGGGAUGGAGGCCUUCGGGUUGUAAACCUCUUUUAUCGGGGAGCAAGCGAGAGUGAGUUUACCCGUUGAAUAAGCACCGGCUAACUACGUGCCAGCAGCCGCGGUAAUACGUAGGGUGCAAGCGUUAUCCGGAAUUAUUGGGCGUAAAGGGCUCGUAGGCGGUUCGUCGCGUCCGGUGUGAAAGUCCAUCGCUUAACGGUGGAUCCGCGCCGGGUACGGGCGGGCUUGAGUGCGGUAGGGGAGACUGGAAUUCCCGGUGUAACGGUGGAAUGUGU